rfam:Schistosoma haematobium scaffold296_46, whole genome shotgun sequence.
AUCCAGUUGAUGAGUUCUAAACAGGACAAAAUGCACGUCUUGGAU